GUGGGGAAUAUUGGACAAUGGGCGCAAGCCUGAUCCAGCAAUGCCGCGUGUGUGAAGAAGGCCUUAGGGUUGUAAAGCACUUUCAGGGGGGAGGAAAGGCCCGCAAGGGUUUUGACGUUACCCCCAGAAGAAGCACCGGCUAACUCUGUGCCAGCAGCCGCGGUAAUACAGAGGGUGCGAGCGUUAAUCGGAAUGACUGGGCGUAAAGCGCGCGUAGGCGGUUAUAUAAGUUGGGUGUGAAAUCCCUGGGCUCAACCUAGGAAUUGCAUUCAAAACUGUAUGACUUGAGUGAAGUAGAGGUGAGUGGAAUUUCCGGAGUAGCGGUGAAAUGCGUAGAUACCGGAAGGAACACCAGUGGCGAAGGCGACUCACUGGGCUUUAACUGACGCUGAGGUGCGAAAGCGUGGGGAGCAAACAGGAUUAGAAACCCCUGUAGUCC
rnacentral:rRNA from 1 species